rnacentral:pre_miRNA from 1 species
UCUUAUGGAUGAGCAAAGGAAGUGGAUUCCUGAGAUGCAAUCUACUCCAUGUGGAGAUACUGUGAA